CCAGACUCCUACGGGAGGCAGCAGUGAGGAAUAUUGGUCAAUGGGCGGGAGCCUGAACCAGCCAAGUCGCGUGAGGGAGGACGGCCCUACGGGUUGUAAACCUCUUUUGCCGGGGGACAAACGGCGGCACGCGUGCCGUCCUGAGGGUACCCGGAGAAAAAGCAUCGGCUAACUCCGUGCCAGCAGCCGCGGUAAUACGGAGGAUGCGAGCGUUAUCCGGAUUUAUUGGGUUUAAAGGGUGCGUAGGCGGGUUGUUAGGUCGGGGGUAAAUUGGGGGGGCCCAACCCCGGCCCGCCGUUGAAACUGGCAGUCUCGAGUUGGAGAGAAGUAUGCGGAAUGCGCGGUGUAGCGGUGAAAUGCAUAGAUAUCGCGCAGAACUCCGAUUGCGAAGGCAGCAUGCCGGCUCCACACUGACGCUGAGGCACGAAAGCGUGGGUAUCGAACAGGAUUAGAUACCCGAGUA
rnacentral:rRNA from 1 species